UUAAGUUAUUAAGGGCGCACGGUGGAUGCCUUGGCACUAGAAGCCGAUGAAGGACGUUACUAACGACGAUAUGCUUUGGGGAGCUGUAAGUAAGCUUUGAUCCAGAGAUUUCCGAAUGGGGAAACCCAGCAUGAGUUAUGUCAUGUUAUCGAUAUGUGAAUACAUAGCAUAUCAGAAGGCACACCCGGAGAACUGAAACAUCUUAGUACCCGGAGGAAGAGAAAGAAAAUUCGAUUUCCUUAGUAGCGGCGAGCGAAACGGGAAGAGCCCAAACCAACAAGCUUGCUUGUUGGGGUUGUAGGACACUCUAUACGGAGUUACAAAGGACGACAUUAGACGAAUCAUCUGGAAAGAUGAAUCAAAGAAGGUAAUAAUCCUGUAGUCGAAAAUGUUGUCUCUCUUGAGUGGAUCCUGAGUACGACGGAGCACGUGAAAUUCCGUCGGAAUCUGGGAGGACCAUCUCCUAAGGCUAAAUACUCUCUAGUGACCGAUAGUGAACCAGUACCGUGAGGGAAAGGUGAAAAGCACCCCGGAAGGGGAGUGAAAUAGAACCUGAAACCGUGUGCUUACAAGUAGUCAGAGCCCGUUAAUGGGUGAUGGCGUGCCUUUUGUAGAAUGAACCGGCGAGUUACGAUUUGAUGCAAGGUUAAGCAGUAAAUGUGGAGCCGUAGCGAAAGCGAGUCUGAAUAGGGCGUUUAGUAUUUGGUCGUAGACCCGAAACCAGGUGAUCUACCCUUGGUCAGGUUGAAGUUCAGGUAACACUGAAUGGAGGACCGAACCGACUUACGUUGAAAAGUGAGCGGAUGAACUGAGGGUAGCGGAGAAAUUCCAAUCGAACCUGGAGAUAGCUGGUUCUCUCCGAAAUAGCUUUAGGGCUAGCCUCAAGUGAUGAUUAUUGGAGGUAGAGCACUGUUUGGACGAGGGGCCCCUCUCGGGUUACCGAAUUCAGACAAACUCCGAAUGCCAAUUAAUUUAACUUGGGAGUCAGAACAUGGGUGAUAAGGUCCGUGUUCGAAAGGGAAACAGCCCAGACCACCAGCUAAGGUCCCAAAAUAUAUGUUAAGUGGAAAAGGAUGUGGCGUUGCCCAGACAACUAGGAUGUUGGCUUAGAAGCAGCCAUCAUUUAAAGAGUGCGUAAUAGCUCACUAGUCGAGUGACACUGCGCCGAAAAUGUACCGGGGCUAAACAUAUUACCGAAGCUGUGGAUUGUCCUUUGGACAAUGGUAGGAGAGCGUUCUAAGGGCGUUGAAGCAUGAUCGUAAGGACAUGUGGAGCGCUUAGAAGUGAGAAUGCCGGUGUGAGUAGCGAAAGACGGGUGAGAAUCCCGUCCACCGAUUGACUAAGGUUUCCAGAGGAAGGCUCGUCCGCUCUGGGUUAGUCGGGUCCUAAGCUGAGGCCGACAGGCGUAGGCGAUGGAUAACAGGUUGAUAUUCCUGUACCACCUAUAAUCGUUUUAAUCGAUGGGGGGACGCAGUAGGAUAGGCGAAGCGUGCGAUUGGAUUGCACGUCUAAGCAGUAAGGCUGAGUAUUAGGCAAAUCCGGUACUCGUUAAGGCUGAGCUGUGAUGGGGAGAAGACAUUGUGUCUUCGAGUCGUUGAUUUCACACUGCCGAGAAAAGCCUCUAGAUAGAAAAUAGGUGCCCGUACCGCAAACCGACACAGGUAGUCAAGAUGAGAAUUCUAAGGUGAGCGAGCGAACUCUCGUUAAGGAACUCGGCAAAAUGACCCCGUAACUUCGGGAGAAGGGGUGCUCUUUAGGGUUAACGCCCAGAAGAGCCGCAGUGAAUAGGCCCAAGCGACUGUUUAUCAAAAACACAGGUCUCUGCUAAACCGUAAGGUGAUGUAUAGGGGCUGACGCCUGCCCGGUGCUGGAAGGUUAAGAGGAGUGGUUAGCUUCUGCGAAGCUACGAAUCGAAGCCCCAGUAAACGGCGGCCGUAACUAUAACGGUCCUAAGGUAGCGAAAUUCCUUGUCGGGUAAGUUCCGACCCGCACGAAAGGCGUAACGAUUUGGGCACUGUCUCAACGAGAGACUCGGUGAAAUCAUAGUACCUGUGAAGAUGCAGGUUACCCGCGACAGGACGGAAAGACCCCGUGGAGCUUUACUGUAGCCUGAUAUUGAAAUUCGGCACAGCUUGUACAGGAUAGGUAGGAGCCUUUGAAACGUGAGCGCUAGCUUACGUGGAGGCGCUGGUGGGAUACUACCCUAGCUGUGUUGGCUUUCUAACCCGCACCACUUAUCGUGGUGGGAGACAGUGUCAGGCGGGCAGUUUGACUGGGGCGGUCGCCUCCUAAAAGGUAACGGAGGCGCUCAAAGGUUCCCUCAGAAUGGUUGGAAAUCAUUCAUAGAGUGUAAAGGCAUAAGGGAGCUUGACUGCGAGACCUACAAGUCGAGCAGGGUCGAAAGACGGACUUAGUGAUCCGGUGGUUCCGCAUGGAAGGGCCAUCGCUCAACGGAUAAAAGCUACCCCGGGGAUAACAGGCUUAUCUCCCCCAAGAGUUCACAUCGACGGGGAGGUUUGGCACCUCGAUGUCGGCUCAUCGCAUCCUGGGGCUGUAGUCGGUCCCAAGGGUUGGGCUGUUCGCCCAUUAAAGCGGUACGCGAGCUGGGUUCAGAACGUCGUGAGACAGUUCGGUCCCUAUCCGUCGUGGGCGUAGGAAAUUUGAGAGGAGCUGUCCUUAGUACGAGAGGACCGGGAUGGACAUACCUCUGGUGUACCAGUUGUCGUGCCAACGGCAUAGCUGGGUAGCUAUGUGUGGACGGGAUAAGUGCUGAAAGCAUCUAAGCAUGAAGCCCCCCUCAAGAUGAGAUUUCCCAACUUCGGUUAUAAGAUCCCUCAAAGAUGAUGAGGUUAAUAGGUUCGAGGUGGAAGCAUGGUGACAUGUGGAGCUGACGAAUACUAAUCGAUCGAAGACUUAAUCAA
rnacentral:rRNA from 1 species